ACGAGGCUCUUCCGAUCUGGGCAGAGGGCAGGGCACAGCCAUUAAAGGAAUGACGCAGCAGUCAGCACCAAGACGGAGGGAGACUCAACUCCCCGUAGACCCUGAGCUUCAUUAUACGCUCAUCGUAAUACAUUAGCACGGCAAAUGGCCCUCCCACAGGCACCAGGACAGUUCCGAGGCUACCCAAAAAAGGUCAAAAAGUGGGUGAUGGCCCAGUUCCUGGCAAUCCCGGUCCCUUCUCCAAAGUAGCUGGAAUACUCCUCCCACUUGUCAGCACAUGAAAUAACCGUGCCCAUAAACACCAGCAACACCACGCCUGGCCUUUGGGGACGCCUGCACUCUAUGGAAUGUGUACCCACUUUUACUUUAAACUAAACACCCAACCCUGCACCUUGUGGCCUUCGUCUGGCCUACUGAGACUGCUUACACUCUGUCUAUGGAGUAUGUGUCUCUCUCAGUAAAUCUACUUUCACUCAACUGUGGCUCAGUCUUGAAUUCUUUCCUUGGUGAAGCCAAGGACUCUCACUUGAUGGGGUGCGUCCCAGGGACUUGCCUGGGAUCUGGGACAUGACCAUCCUCUCUCGCCCCAUUUUCCUGCGCAAAAAACCCCUACAAACAGUCUGACUAUUCACCAAAAAGAGAAUGGACAGACUGACAGCAGUCUAUUCAUAUAACUGAAAAGCCAUACAUUGCUUAAAAUGUGUGAUACAGAGUUGUAUAUUUCAAUAUAGAUACAGUUCACAAAUACAAUAUUAUAUAUUGACUAAAAUAAGCACACUGCAGAAGACCCCAUUCAUUCAGAUACUAUUUAUAUAAAGUUUAGAAACAUCUAAAACUUUACUAUACAUCCUUUAAGGAUUCCUACCUGUCGCCUAAAUCAGUAAAGCAGCGCAAGUUAGUAUCUAUCUGCAAGAUGGAGAUUCCUUCUAGAAGGUGGAUAGGAAGGAAAUGUGACUGGGAGGGAUACACAAAAGAAUUUCCACUUUAUAAUGUUUUACUUCGAAAGCUGCAUUUGGGGUUUAGUUGCUUAUUGUUCUUUUACGACUUUGGUAUGUUUCAAAUUAUAUUACAUAAAAUUGUUGAAACAUCUUCAGAAAGAUAAAAUAAAAUAUUGCAUCCAGUAAAAAGUAAUGAGUCUCAUUUAUGAAGUAGGAAUUAAAUUCUAAAAAUACAGUUGUUCUAAGAAAACUUAAUGUGCUCUCAAGUUAUUACAUGCUUUAAAAUAGAAAAUUAAAAAGUAUAGGCUUUCUUUAAAAA